rnacentral:misc_RNA from 1 species
AACGCACGAGACCUGCGGACCUGCGGAAGGAUCAUUAUUGAAUAAGCUUGGUUGGGUUGUUGCUGGUCCUGAGGGACAUGUGCACGCCUACCAUUAGUUUUCCAAUCCCCUGUGCACUUCAUGUAGGCUAGCAAAAAACAACACCUUAUCGAGGUCAAACUCGGACUUGGGAAUUGCUGUGAAUAUAUCAGUCAGCUCUUCUUGUUUGCUUUUACUAGUCUAUGUCUUUAUUAUACUCCA